GUGGAUGUAGCUCAGCAGGUAGAGCUCCAGAUUGUGGCUCCGGAGGUCGCGGGUUCGAGUCCCGUCAUCCACCCCA
rnacentral:tRNA from 1 species